AUGGCUUUUUGGGGUUUAAUAAAAAGUUUGGCCUGCACACUGAUUCGUUAAAGAGCUGCAGUAUUUUGACUGUACAAAGGUAGCACAAUCAUUAGUCCUUUAAUUGUGGACUGGUAUGAAAGGUUAGACAAAUAGAUAUUGUUUCAAACUUAUUGAUUGAAUUUGACUUUUAUGUUAAAAGGCAUAGAUGUAACUAAAAGACAAGAAGACCCUGUUAAACUUGAUUUAAUUGUGUUUAGGUGGUUAUAUAAAGAAAUUUAACUUAAUUAUAUAAAUUUUGCUGGGGCGGUCAGUGUAUUUUAUCUACAUUAGUAAUAAAUUUGAGUUAAGAGAUGUUUAUGUGAGCCUUGCUAAGGCUAAUAGAAAAAGUUACUAAAGGGAUAACAGCGUAAUGUGUUUUGCGAGUUCUUAUCAACAAAUACGUUUUCGA
rnacentral:rRNA from 1 species